AUUUAUUUAAAUUUGCCUGUAUCUUUCUUGUACAGAAAUACCAGAAAUGAAGCACUUUUCCAGAUGCAGUCUGCAUUAACGAAUAGAAAGAGGCUCCCUCAUGUGGUGUAUCUGCAUAGUCUCAUCAAAAAAACAAACAAAAAAGGUAAACCACCAACCCCAAACUAUAUCACUCACCCACCCUUCACUUUGACCUCUUAUUUUUUUUGCUUAUUGGGAAGGUAUUGUUGGAUGUACAUUUCUGUGUAGUUUAUUAAAUGUGUAGUAAUUAAAUGCAUAGAGAACAAAUAUAAUUCCAUUGAAUGUUACAUCAAUGUGGGUCUGAGGUAGACAUAUAUUAACAGGAUUAACACAAAAACUCUUAUCCUCACUGAAAAGUAAGCCCUACAAUAUUGCGUAAGUAGGAGAUAUUAAAAUUCAACCUUGAUAAAUGACUGCCUUUCCCCCCUACCACUCAUCCCUGCAUGCCUCACUCCCAUCUCCCCAUCUUCCCCCAUACCCUCCUUCCUUGAUCCCCAUACCUGCCUACUUGCUAAUUGCAAGACCCCUCUACCUCCCUGCUAAACCCUGUACUCCCCUCCCUGCUAAUUCCCACACUCCCUUUCUCCCUAUAAGCCCCACAUUCACCUCCAUGCCUUUCCCUGUACCCUUCUCCCCCUGCAUGCACCACCACCAACCCUUUCUGGCAAUACCUACAUUUCCUCUCCAUGCCCUGCCAGUUUGUGAUUGCUCUUCCUCUAUACACCAACUCCUGCUUCCCCCAGAUCCCUGUGUUCCAACAUACAUGCACCCAAAUCCAUAUUCCAUAUCCCCAAUGUACUUUCUGGUCUACUUUACAUUCAACAUGGCAUAUGUCCCUGCACAUUCCCUUCCAACUCCACCUUCUACCCACCCACACAUGCCCUUCCCACCAGCAACUGGGCCAGCACAUGAAGAUGCCACUUCACUGCCUACAGUGAAUAACAGGUGAGCUUUAGUUUAUGUUUUUAAACAAUUGUAGACAUUCUUCUGACUAUCCAUAAACAAAUCUGUAAGAGUGUGACUUAAGGCAGUAACCAUUCUGUUCUGUACCUAGUUAUGAAAACAACUCUGUAAGAGCACGACGUGGGUGACAGCCAUGCGAUAACAGAAAAGGAACAAGCAGAAACUAAAAACAAACAAAAUGCCUCAUCUGGCCAUUUUAAUGCACAUGCAUAUCCAUGCAGAUGAUUUCCCAACCACAGGUCAGCAUACAGGCAUCAGACUACUCCACCUCCAUAAUCUUUAUACCACCUUCACCCCAAAAACCAGGAAACAAAUGAUAGCUUGUUUCAGCCAAGAAAAAUGCAAGUACUUCCAUCAAUUUACAAAAUCUCAUGUAAAGUUUCCCAUUUCCUUCUUGCUCUGUGUGGUUGGGCAAACACUUCUUUCCAUCUCGGCCCAUCACACAGUUUUCUUCCACCUCACUUUGUAGCCACACCAAAUGAAGUCCUAGUUAACUUACCUGCUUACCUUAGGUAAGAUCUACACUACAGUGUUUUGUCAGGAUAGUUAUGUCAUUCAGGGGUCUGAAAAAAUGUCACCCCAGCUGACAUAGCUAAGUUAGCAGAAACCCCAGUAUAGAUGCAGCUAAACCAAAAGAAGAGUGCUUCUGAUAGCAUAAGUAAUCGUUUGAAGAGGCAAGUGUUACUACGCUGACAAAAAAAGCUCCUUCUGUUAGUAUAAAACUAUGUCUACAUUGUUUGGGCUCUGCAGGCAUAGCUAUAGACUUUAACUAUACUGUCAAAGCAUCUAUACUGUAGACAAGGCCUGAGUGUAUUGUAUGUUCAUUUCACAAGUUGUUAUUGUAUAUCUUUAAUUCCUUCAUUUAUCCCUACAAAGCAAACAAGCACUUCUCAAACAAGACCAAUAAAACCAAUUUUGAGUUAGUAAGUCAAGCCAUUUUGAAGAUAUGAUGAUCUAUAAUGCAACACCAAGUUUUGUUUGCUUUUUUGUUUUGUUUUUUUGCCAUAUACCAGAAUGAACUUGUAUACAAUUUGCUGUCUUCUAUCAGCAACUUAUCUUCCCAAUAACCGCAUGUGUUCUGUAUUAUUUUUCCCAGAUGUAUUAACAUGCACUUUUGCAGGCUCAAUCUCAUUUUAUUAUUUCCUGCUCAUAUUUCCACUCUCCCUAGGUCCCUUUGUAUUAUGUCUCUGCUCUCACUGGUGUUUGCAUUACCUACCAAUUUAUUAUCUGUGAAUUUAAUUGAUGUGCUGUUUAUCUUAUUCUCCAGAUCAUUCAUAAAGCUGUUAAACAAAACUGGACCUUACACCAACCCCCGAAGCACCCCGCUAAACACAUUACCCUGCUAAAUGUAUUCCUAUUUAUCACUAUCCUUUGUUUAUGCCCUUAAGGAAGUUUGUCGUCCAUAAGGCAGUCAUCGCAUCCACACAAAUUUAAUUUUUUCAUAUACUUGGUGAAGCAGAGCAUCAGUGCCUUACUAAUAACCCUCUCUGUUGGUGUACAUCUAUUGCAUUUUGUUCAUAAAGGAUUCCCUUCCUUUAAUCAAGGAACAUGAACUCAAGCAAUGAACAGAAAUGAGGGGAAAAAAAUAGAGAUAGUAAUAAAGAGAUGAAUGAAAAGCAAAGUGGGAUGUUAACAAGAAACGAAACAAGAAUGCAGUGAAUUAGUAUUUAAAAUUCAAAUUAGGAUAAAAACAUAAUAUUUGAAAUUUCAAAUAUGUCUGACUUGGUUUGUUACCAAGUUACCUUCACUGCUUCACUGAAAACGAUGUAGAAUGUAACAAGUUAAACAGCUAACCCAAUACUACUGAUAAGAAAUUCUUGCUAUUUGAUGGUGUGCAGUCACAGCAGAUUCCCAAUCUUGGUUCUAUGCUUUAUGCAUAUAAGAGGAGGAAAUACCUAGGUAAGGAUUAUAUUUCCUUUUACGGGGGGGAAAUGGACACAGAGGCCAGGAAACUCCAUGAGCGUCAGCUUACCAGUCUGUUGGGGAGGAAAAACUGGAGAGUGCAGUUUACUCACACAACUCCACAUAAUAGACAGGGAGAUAAGAGCCAAACACACAUACAGGUAUCUUGAGAUUCACAGCGUAGUAUCACAUAUCUUCCGACACACGCCAAUGACUGGGACAUUAAUGCAGAGGCCCAGUGCAUCUGCAGUACUCAACGGGCUCCAUGCUAUACCCCUAAGGGCCCUGCUUCCCUAAACUACUAAACCAGGAGUGAUGUUUAAUGUACAGGAGAGACUGACCACCGCUUCCAACUAUGUUCCCAACACAUACUCUAUGGAACACAUAUCCAAAAAAACUGAGACAGAGGAUAAAGGAAAAAUGAAGACCUUGAUGUACUAAUUUCCAAUGGAUUUUUCUCCUUUCUAAUCAUAGAACAGAGGGGGGCAAACUACGGCCAGCAGGCCACAUCUGGCCCCCGAGCUCCUGCCAGGGAGUGGGAUCAGGACAGGCUCGCAGAGGAGCAAGCCCAACUCCCCGGCAGCGCGGUGAGUGGGGCAGAGGCUAGCCCCUGGCCCCUCCCCUUUUGCUCCCCUCCCUCCCUCGCAGUCACAGUUCCCCCAGCACCUGGGCAGCGUGGCUGCAGCUCCGGCCAGGUGGCAUGGCUAUAGCGCUGCCAGGCCUGGUGCCCCAGGGGGCUUCCCUCCACCUCCAGCAUGCUUGGCCCCUGUCCCCAGCAGCCAAGCCCAGACAGGGAGCGAGCCCUGCCCGACUGCCAGGGAGAGCAGCCAAACGAGAGGGGAAAUACACAGGGAAAGGACUGAGACCCCCUUUCCCCCACCCCACAGGUAACAUGGGGUGGGGAGAGCAGGGAGGAUUGGAUAGAGGGUGAGAGGCUCCAGGGAGUGGGGAGCAGGGGAGAUUACAUAGGGGCGGGGAGUCCCAGGGGUGGUCAGGGGGUGGGGAGCAGGGUGGAUUGGAUAGGGGAUGGGCAUCCCGGGGGGAUGGUCAGGGGGCAGAGAGCAGGGGUGUUUGGAUAGGAUGCAGGAGUCCCGGGGGCAGCCAGGGGUGGGGAGCAAGAGGGGUUGGAUGGGGGUGGGAGUUCCGGGGGGGCUGGAAUGGGGGCGGGGGCCAGGCCACGCCUUGCUGUUUUGGGAGGCAUAGCCUCCCCCAGCCUUCCCUACCCUGCACUCCAUAUAGUUUCUGUACCAGAUGUGGCCCUAGGUCUAAAAAGUUUGCCCACCCCUGUCACAGAGGGAUGGCUUACUGGACGGGAACCAUAUGCACAUUAGUUUUGUGCUGUCAAGGGUAGUGUUAUACUUGCCAAUGCAAGGGGAUAUGGCAAUUGCAGAACCUUAGAGGUUAGUCCCUUUCUAACAAAACAAACAAAUUAUAAUAAUAAUAAAGAACAAUUUGUAAGGAUAGACUAAUAUCUGUCUUCCAAUUCUGUAGAGAGGGUGGAUUGGUGGGUGUGGCAGUACUCAACUACCAUCAGAACAAGAAUUACAGAGAAUAUUCUUUUGUAAAGGUCACAGCAGUUAUCCACUGUUAAACUAAUGGGCUCCCAUUAUCUCUCUGCACAGAAAAUAAAAGCCUUCUGCAACUGUAGGAUGAAGGAACAGUGCUCACUAGAAUGGGAAUACAGGCGUGGAAAGAAAAGUGACAGAAGGAUUGACUGUUGACAGUCUAAUUUUGCCACUGUUUCUGUUGGAUCAUUCCCUAAAUUUUCAAAAGCAGGGGACAGUUUUGGAGUGAAAAGUGGGGAGGGGAAAAAUGUGAGUGUUUGGAGAUAAGGGUUUUAAAACCCAACCUUUUAGAAAAUUCAAAAAUGGGGUUUGUUCUUAGUUUUAAAAAUACACUAACCAACGGCAAUCUUUUAUUUUAAAUGAACCUUGACUAGUCUUACAUUGUUAUAGCUACAAUUUAUGGUGUGUGUUCUACCAUUUACACAUCUAAGCAGUUGACUGCAUUCUUAAAUCAGGUGUUCAAAUCAUAGAAUCAGAGAAAUGUAGGACUGGAAGGGACCUUGAUAGGUCAUAUAGUCCAGUGCCCUGGACUGAGGCAGGACUAAGUAUUAUCGAGACCAUUCCUGACAAGUGUUUGUAUAACCUGUUCUUAAAAACCUCCAGUGACAGGGAUUCCACAACCUCCCUACAUAAUAUAGUCCCGCGCUUAACUACCCUUACAGUUUGGAAGUUUUACCUACUAUCUAACCUAAAUCUCCCUUCCUGUAUUUUAAGCCCAUUACUUCUCGUCCUGUCCUUGGUGGUUAAAGAGAACAAUUUAUCACCCUCUUCUUUAUAACAACCAUUUACAUACUUGAAGACUUACAAUGAGCUCCCUUUGUCUUCUCUUCUCCAGACUAAAAAAACCCCAUUUUUUUCAAUGUAUCCUUCUAGGUCAUGCUUUCUAGACCUUUCAUCACUUUUAUUGCUCUCCUUUCUCCCAUUUGUCCAUGUCUUUCCCCAAAGUGUGGUGCCCAGAUCUGGACACAAUCCUCCAGCUGAGGCCUUAUCAGUGCUGAAUAGAGUGGAAGAAUCACUUCUUGUGUCUUGCUUACAAUACUCCUGCUAAUACAUCCCAGAAUGAUGUUUGCUUUUUUUGCAACAAUAUUACAUUGUUUACUCAUAUUUAGUUUGUGAUACAUUAUAGAACCCCUUUCUUCAGUACUCCUUCCAAAGCAGUCAUUUCCCAUUUUGGAUUUGUGCAAUUGAUUAUUCCUUCCUAAGUGCAAUACUCGGAAUUUGUCCUCAUUGAAUUUCAUCCUAUUUAUUUCAGACCAUUUCUCCAGUUUGUGAAGAUAAUUUUGAAUUCUAAUCCUGUCCUCCAAAGUUCAUGAAAUCCCUCCAGCUUGGUAUCAUCUGUAAUUAUAAGUUUACUCUGUAUGCCAUUAUCCAAAUCAUUUAUGAAGAUAUUUAACAGAACCGAACGCAGGAUGGAUCCCUGCAAGACCACACUCAAUAAGCCCUUCUAGCUUGAUUGUGAAACACUGAUAACUACUCUCUGAGUGUGGUUUUCCAACUAGUUGUGCACCUGCCUUAUAGGAGGUUUGUCUAGGAUAUAUUUCUCUCAUUUGUUUAUGAGAUGGUCAUGUGACACGAUAUCAAAAGCCUUACUACAGUUGAGCAAUAUCACAUCUACUGCUUCCCUGCUAUCCACAAAGCUUGUUACCCUGUCAAAGAAGGAUUGUAAAUUGGUCUGACAUGUUUUGUUCUUGACAAAUCCACACUGACUGUUACUUAUCACCUUAUGAUCUUCUGGGUGCUUACAAACUGAUUGUUUGAUUAUUUGCUCCAUUAUCUUUCCAGAUACUGAAGUUAAGAUGACUGGUCUAUAAUUCCUGGGUAGUCCUUAUUCUCCUUUUCAUAGAUAGGUACUGUAUUUGCCCUUUUCCAGUCCUCGGGUACCUCUCCCAUCCUCCAUGACUUCUCAAAGAUAACUGCUAAUGGCUCAGAGAUAUCUUUAGCCAGUUCCUUAAGUAUUCUAUAGUUAUUUCAUCAGGCCUUGCCAACCUGAAGACACCUCACUUGUCUAAGUAAUUCUUAACUUUGUUCUUUUCCUAUUUUAGUAACAGAUCCCCUCCCACCCAUUUACACAAUCACUGCUAACUUUUUUGGUGAAAAUUGAAACAAAACAGGCAGUUAGCACUUCACCCAUUGCUAUGUUUUCUGCUGUCAUCUCUUCCCCUCUGCCUCCCACUGAGUAAUGGAUCUACCCUAUUCUUGGUCUUCCUCUUGCUUCUCAUGUAUUUUUAAUAUCUUUUCCUGUUUCACUUUAUUUCCCUAGCUAGUUUAAUCUCAUUUUUUGCCUUGGCCUUUCUAAUUUUGUCCCUACAGGCUUGCAUUGUUUUUUCAUAUCCACCCUCGUAAUUUGACCCAUCUCAACUUUUUGUAUGACUCUAACAUCUCCUUGUUAAGCCAGGUAUUCUCUUAACAAACUUUUUAUCUUUGAAAUUGCAUUGGGAUAGUUUGCUCUUGUGCCCUUAAUAAUGUUUCUUUUUAAAAAAACUGUCAAAUCUCCUGAAUUCCAUUUUCACUUACACUUGCUUCCCGAAGGCAUCUUACUUCCCAAUUCUCUGAGUAUGCUAAAUCUACCUUCUUGAAAUCCAGUGUCUUUAUUCUACUGUAAUGGUAGGCUCUGCAUAUUUGUGGGUGCAAAAGUUUGGACCCAAUGGAUUGUGGAUGCAAAAUUAUACAGUUAAGAACAAUGACCCUGAAUCUAUGGCCCAAUGCAUAUAUUUUAACCACUUUACUGCAAUCAAACAAUAUGCCAAUUCUAUGCACAUACUAUGUUGUGGAAUUUACUAAGUUUAUCCUAGCACCCCAUUUAAUGUAUUAAAAAAAAAAAAAAAGAAAAUAAAAAAAUCAAAUUGUACAAUGAAAAAAAGUUAAAAGUAUAUAUACACACACACACAUAUAUCUGUUCUUAAAUACUUAUUCUACUUUAAAAAUAUUAUUAUAGUUACAUACUUGCUGCUUGUGAUAGAAUAUCUUUUCUUUAAACAAUUUGAGGUGAUUCCCAAAAUGCUAAAAAUCACUUCAAUUUAGCCAACAAUUUGUUCAUACUUUAAGAUAAUUAAGGAUGGUAAUAAAAAAAUAAAACUGAAGAGAAAGUGAGGAAUUUGACCUUGAUGUUCACUUUGCAUGUACUGUUUAUACGAUGUGAAACACCUUAAAACCUGGUCUAUGUGCAAAGUUGUAUCAACAUAACCCACAACGCUUUUUAUAGCGAUUUGCUAAAAAACAGUGUCACUUUGUGUGUAGAUGCUCAUAUCAGUUUAAAUCUGGCUCAUGUCUGUUUACUUGUCGCACUAGCUAAACUGAUACUAGCCAGGUUAAAAACCUAUUUGAAUGUCCACACACAAAGUUACAUCAGUUUAACUAAACACUAUAAAUUAAACCAGUGCAAUUUUGUGUGUAGACUUGCCCUUAGUUAUAGUACCUUGCCAAAACUACAUAAAGAGUGCACAAAGCACAUUUACCUUUUAUUGUUACUCCUUCACUUAGUUUUCAAAAACAAUUCUUCAGAGUCCAAAUUAAGUGUUUGUAUGAGUUAAAGAAACUUACUGUUCACUAACAGAGUGAAGAACAUGCCCUAUUUUCUUUGGCCUGUCAUUAUUCUUAAUGAGAACACAGACAUAAAAUGAUAAAGGCUCUGGUUACUGCAGGGAUCAGGUGUUCAUGUGCAGAUUUUAAAUACUGCAUAAACAGGUUAAUAAAAAGAAACACUUUACUGGAUUAAAAUGCUAUGCAGAAGGCAUACAUGGCAGAUGGCACAGCUGAGCAACAUUUGCUGAAAGUUCUAACUAGGACCCAGCAGAUGAACCCAUUAGAAUCCCUGGACAGUACUUGUUUCUGACAACACUGAAAUCUUUUCAGAUUCUUAAGGCAUACAAAGUCAAAUGGAACAGUCAAUAAUUGACUAGUAAUUUAUGUUACAACUCAACUCUAGGAAGAGUCCAAGUGUCAGUUUCCUGUGCAGCAUAAUCAAUUAUUUUACAUAUGCAUUUUUCAUAAGAACAUAACUGCCAAACUGGGGCAGACCAGUGGUUCACCUAGCCCAGUGACCCACAUCACUUGUUGGAUUGAUAAGUAACAUUUUAAAAGCUUACUCUGGAAAAUUAGCUGUACAUUUCAACCUCCAAACAGCCAACUCUUUAUUAUGCCAUAAUUCACCAUAAUAAACACAUGUGUUGUACUUUAAAUUUAAUCUCUGAUUUUCCAAUGUACAUUGUUUUGGCCAAAUGAAUUCUUCCAUAAUUUCCGCCAAAUGCACCGAAAUCCAGAUAUUUUACUUUCGAGGCAAAACAAAAAAUCAAUUUCAGUUGUAACACCUAUAUUUGUUUAAAAAUAUAUUAUACUUUAAAAAUGGCUCUAAACGCUGGUUACACACCAUCUUGUGGCACUUUGAAUAAAAUGUUGUACAAAAAUGUAGAAUUAUGUUAAAUAAGAAAAUUUGGUAAAUUUCCCCUUGUCUGCUCUCAUUCAUAAGUUAUUCUCCGCCUUCUCAAAUUUCCCCACUAUUACUUCAUUUAUGUUCCAAUAAAUUGCAAUUUACAAUCCAGCAAGAACACAACCUAUAGUACUUGAAGCCAACUCCAUGUCAAAUGACCAAUGGGGAACUCAAUUAUUUAAACAUAAUAUUUUAAAAUAUUUUAAUUUACUGUCAAACUUACAUGCACAAAGGCAAAAAAAAUCAGAAUUAAACAUAAAAUUAGGGAUCACACAGCACAAAUAGUACUUAUACUUAAUACCUACUGCUUGAUGAAAAACAUUAAAAAUGACCUGCAGAGAAAUGAAAAGGUGUUUAUGUGUACGGGUGGAUUAAAGACCAAAACAUAUUUUUCUUGAUACCUCCACUCCCAAAAUAAAACACACUAGAUAUAUCAGUUCUUGAAUUCUCUAUUUCUGCUGGAGGACUACAGAACUGGGGGAAUAUGACAUCACAAAAAACAAGGAGACUUGACAGAAGCAAAAACAUAUGAGCAAGAAAUGUUUUUGUUGUUUUUAUUUUUUGUUGUUGUCAGUGUUUAAACUUUGUUUUUGCUGAUUUAUGAUGACACUUAUUUGAUUCAAACUCAGGCAAACACUUGAGAGAAAAAUGUCUCUGUUAAAUAUUCAAACACCCGUGGCCUUUCUACUGAAGUCAGAGAAACCUCCCACUCCAAUUCUCAAAAGAGUUCUCCCGCAAAAUGAGGGAAGACGUUCAUAAUAUUUCUUGGGGAACGAGGAAAUGAUUACCAAUCCCCUACCUCUCAACACUCUCAAACUUUCAUGCCUCAUUAUGAAUUAUAAAGAAGUAAAAACAGAAGUCAGAUUUUCCCCCUUUACAGGUCACCUCUUUAUUAAUUAAUCCUCUUUACAGCUCUAAACAGGAAAUAAUAAUCAUUAUCCCUAUUAUACAGAUGGAAAACUGCAGAGGAGAGAUGAAGAGUCUUGGCCAAUGUUAAUAUUAAACAAGUAGUAGAGCAAGGAUUCAAAAAACAGUAUUUGUUUACUCCAUCCUUUAUGCUCAUUCUUGGAACAAUACUAUCAGGGAUAGCCUAUCAGGGAUUAUCCAGCAUUACAGAGAACACUUAUAUUGCAUUAUUUGAGAAAUAGCAUGUAGCUUUAUAUUUAAACAACGUAUCACAACGUGUAAGUGUGUACAGUUAAUAUUGUGCAUUCUGGGCAUGAUGCUGAUCUUAUAUCAGUAAAAAUAUGAAGAAAAUUGAGGUUAGAAAAUCCAAAAUCAAUCUCUCAGAUGUUACUUUCUCAUUUCAUAACUUGGGUGCUUAACUAUCGAAGUUUAAAAGUGAGUUUAGUUGCAACACACACACACAUGCAGGCACACAGAGCAAAGCAGCACAAAUCAAUGAAAUUACCACAAUUUUAGAAACUUGUAAUUCAAUGGUCUGAACAUACAAUAAAAAAAUUACAUUGUUUGCUAGCGAUUUUUUUUGUUUGUUUGUUUUUUUUAGAAGUUUAAUAUCUAAAAUGCCUGCAGGCAACCGGGUUCCUUCCAAAACAGUAACCCAUUGUGGCUUCAUUUAAUUUUGAUUUGAAAAGCUUGAUGCAGCUUUUUUACAACUUUUGAUUAAAACUGUUUAAAUAAAAAAGUAAAUGUGUGACAUGGCAGUGGAGAUCUACAUAAACAAGUGAGGGGUAGAAAACAAAGUGUUUGAAGAUUUGGUUUGAAGAAGAAGCCAAAGUUUGUGAGAAACUCUUUGGCAGAGAAGUUUUGCUGGAUAAUUCACAAGACUCUCACCAGACAGUCAGCAGUUACUAGUUUCAGUCAGUCAUUACAAGAGAAUUAUCAAAAUGUAAGGUAAAUCUGCUUAGGGCAGAGCAAAGUACAUCUAAACAUGAAUGGCCUGAAAAUCAAAAAGGAAUCCUUCAAAAAGUGGAAACAUGGAAAAAUAGUCAGGUCCCCCUAUUGAGGGUCUUCCUCAAGCAACAGUAAGGCGGAGGGCUGAGGAGGAAUGUGUUUAUAAAACUAAAAAUUGGCACCGGACUUGAGGAAUGGAUAAAAGGCCAAAGCCUUCCUCAUGUCCAGAAAAUGCAGUCUUCUUUCCUCUUCUGAGGCAUGUGGUUUAGGAAAAAACCCAGGAAUGAUGCAGUAAAAAGGAGCUGAGGACAUGAAAGAUUCCAACGUAGACCAUGUGGUGGUAAGAAGCAACUGGUGAGGCAAUGGCCAUGAAAGCACGUGGACAACUAUGGCGCAUGUGUGGUCCAAUGUACAUUGCUUGCAAAAAAUUCCAGGCUCAGGUGCAUGGUGUGCGUGUGUAUCCCACAUGUGGAAUACACAAAGGGACUUCACUCAAAAAAGAAGAAUUUUUAUGGUUGGUAUCUUUCAGUAUAGUCUUUUAUUGCACACUUUGUCAUUUAUAUCGAGUUACAAAUGAAUUCUGUAAGUAUUCCCUCCACCCCCUGCUGUCCUGGCCAUAUCAGAUUACUGGAAAAUAUAGAAAGACAAAACCAAAAUAUGUUCGGGAGGAUGCGAAAGCCUUGUGCUUGUCUGUGCAUCCCCUCAUCGUACCAAAUAUGCCCUUGCCCACACCACAUCUCCUACCCUUCUCCUAAGCACAUUUGUCAUAAGCUUCUCUGGCACUUCUCACUUCUUUUGUCCAUAUUGUUUCCUCUCUUCUGUUUUGAGUCUUUUUCCUGUAACACACAUCUUUCCCUCUCCCAUCUGUCUUGUUUGGUUUCUUCAUUCUCCUUCAUUCAUACUUUAACUUUUUGUUUGUUUUUCUUUCUUCAACCCCCUCCUGUUCCGUGACUGACUCCCUCUAACAGCAUAUCUUUGUCCCCACUAUGUCUCCUAGUUGCUUCUCAUUCUCACCCAACCACACUCCUAACUCCUGGCUGCUAGACUUCCUAAUCCGUGAUUCCCUGCCUACAUCCUCUUUUGUUACUCCAGUCACCUACUCAGCUGAGCAGAACAACUAAAUUAAUCUAAUCAGAGGUGAAGCAUGAGAGUAGUAAGAACUUCAGAGCUAAUUAAAUUCACAUCCAAUCUCCACCUGCUCUGCUCCUCUCUUAUAGGAUUAGGAUAAUGAAAUUAAAUAGCUAGCCUGAGGAGAUAGGGCCAAGAAACAUAUUGGCACAGUCCUAAUAGUAACGCCAUAUUUUUCGUUGUUGCUAUUAAAUGUUUUCUCUUCCUGUUAUAUGUUUCGGUGGGAAGAUGUCAACAAAGAAUUUUCAAUUAUAUGUGAUCAAGACUUGAUGACUGUCUUUCUCUCAGGAUGGGAG